UACGUAGGUGGCAAGCGUUGUCCGGAAUGACUGGGCGUAAAGGGAGCGUAGGCGGCGCAGUAAGUUAGGAGUGAAAUCCCGGGGCUCAACCCCGGAACUGCUUUUAAAACUGCUGUGCUUGAGUGAUGGAGAGGAAAGCGGAAUUCCUAGUGUAGCGGUGGAAUGCGUAGAUAUCAGGAGGAACACCGGCGGCGAAGGCGGCUUACUGGACUGUAACUGACGUUGAGGCUCGAAGGCGUGGGGAGCAAACAGG
rnacentral:rRNA from 1 species